GUACCUUCGGGGACAUUUGAUAAAAUUUGAACGAUACAGAGAAGAUUAGCAUGGCCCCUGCGCAAGAAUGUGACACGCACAAAUCGAGAAAUGGUCCAAAUUUUU